GCGCUUAUAGUGUAGCGGUUAUCAUCCCAGCCUUCCAUUUAUCAUAGGUAGCUGGGGACGGGGGUUCGACUCCCCCUGGGCGCA
rfam:Colletotrichum tofieldiae strain 0861 Ct_v4_contig68, whole genome shotgun sequence.